AGUGAACGCUGGCGGUAGGCCUAACACAUGCAAGUCGAACGGCAGCACCGUAAUUCCUUGCUCUUACGGGUGGCGACGGGCGGCCGGGGGAGGAAUACAUCGGAAUUUACUUUUUCGUGGGGGAUAACUUAGGGAAACUUACGCUAAUACCUCAUACGACCUACGGGUGAAAGCAGGGGGUCUUCGGACCUUGCGCUAUUGAGGUAGCCGAUGUCGGAUUAGCUAGUUGGCGGGGUAAAGGCCCACCAAGGCAACGAUCCGUAGCUGGUCUGAGAGGAUGAUCAGCCACACUGGAACUGAGACACGGUCCAGACUCCGACGGGAGGCAGCAGUGGGGAAUAUUGGACAAUGGGCGCAAGCCUGAUCCAGCCACACCGCGUGGGUGAAGAAGGUCUUCGGGUUGUAAAGCUCUUUUGUUGGGGAAGAAAAGCAGCAGGUUAAGAUCCCGCUGUUCUGACGGUACCCAAAGAAGAAGCACCGGCUAACUUCGUG
rnacentral:rRNA from 1 species